GAUCCUGGCUCAGAAUCAACGCUGGCGGCGUGCCUAACACAUGCAAGUCGCACGAGAAAGGGACUUCGGUCCUGAGUAAAGUGGCGCACGGGUGAGUAACACGUGAAUUAUCUACCUCCGAAUGGGGAAUAACUGAGAGAAAUCUUAGCUAAUACCGCAUAAUACCUACGGGUCAAAGCAGCAAUGCGUUUGGAGAGGAGUUCGCGGUCGAUUAGUUAGUUGGCGGGGUAAUGGCCCACCAAGACGAUGAUCGAUAUCCGGCCUGAGAGGGCGCACGGACACACUGGAACUGAAACACGGUCCAGACUCCUACGGGAGGCAGCAGUGGGGAAUUUUGCGCAAUGGGGGAAACCCUGACGCAGCAACGCCGCGUGGAGGAUGAAAUAUCUUGGUAUGUAAACUCCUUUCGAUGGGGAAGAUAAUGACGGUACCCAUAGAAGAAGCCCCGGCUAACUUCGUGCCAGCAGCCGCGGUAAUACGAGGGGGGCAAGCGUUGUUCGGAAUUAUUGGGCGUAAAGGGUGCGUAGGCGGUUUGACAAGUCAUCUGUGAAAUCUAUGGGCUCAACCCAUAGCCUGCAGGCGAAACUGUCGGGCUUGAGUAUUGGAGAGGUGAGUGGAAUUUCCGGUGUAGCGGUGAAAUGCGUAGAUAUCGGAAGGAACACCUGUGGCGAAAGCGGCUCACUGGACAAU
rnacentral:rRNA from 1 species